rnacentral:rRNA from 1 species
CAAUAGCGUAUAUUAAAGUUGUUGCGGUUAAAAAGCUCGUAGUUGGAUUUCUGCUGAGAACGACCGGUCCGCCCUCUGGGUGUGUAUCUGGCUCUUUCUUGGCAUCUUCUUGGUGAACGUUGCUGCACUUGACUGUGUGGAGCGCUACCCAGGACUUUUACUUUGAGGAAAUUAGAGUGUUUCAAGCAGGCAUACGCCUUGAAUACAUUAGCAUGGAAUAAUAAGAUAGGACCUCGGUUCUAUUUUGUUGGUUUCUAGAGCUGAGGUAAUGAUUAAUAGGGAUAGUUGGGGGCAUUCGUAUUUAACUGUCAUAGGUGAAAUUCUUGGAUUUGUUAAAGACGGACUACUGCGAAAGCAUUUGCCAAGGAUGUUUUCAUUGA